rnacentral:rRNA from 1 species
ACGCUAGCGGCAGGCCUAAUACAUGCAAGUCGAGGGGUAGAGAGAGCUUGCCUUCUUGAGACCGGCGCACGGGUGCGUAACGCGUAUGCAACCUACCUUUAUCUGGGGGAUAGCCCGGAGAAAUCCGGAUUAAUACCGCAUAAAAUCACAGAAUAGCAUUAUUUAAUGAUCAAACAUUUAUGGGAUGAAGAUGGGCAUGCGUGUCAUUAGCUAGUUGGCGGGGUAACGGCCCACCAAGGCGACGGUGACUAGGGGAUCUGAGAGGAUGGCCCCCCACACUGGUACUGAGACACGGACCAGACUCCUACGGGAGGCAGCAGUAAGGAAUAUUGGUCAAUGGAGGCAACUCUGAACCAGCCAUGCCGCGUGCAGGAAGACUGCCCUAUGGGUUGUAAACUGCUUUUAUCCGGGAAUAAACCUUUCUACGUGUAGGAAGCUGAAUGUACCGGAAGAAUAAGGAUCGGCUAACUCCGUGCCAGCAGCCGCGGUAAUACGGAGGAUCCAAGCGUUAUCCGGAUUUAUUGGGUUUAAAGGGUGCGUAGGCGGCCUGUUAAGUCAGGGGUGAAAGACGGUAGCUCAACUAUCGCAGUGCCCUUGAUACUGAUGGGCUUGAAUGGACUAGAGGUAGGCGGAAUGAGACAAGUAGCGGUGAAAUGCAUAGAUAUGUCUCAGAACACCGAUUGCGAAGGCAGCUUACUAUGGUCUUAUUGACGCUGAGGCACGAAAGCGUGGGGAUCAAACAGGAUUAGAUACCCUGGUAGUCCACGCCCUAAACGAUGAACACUCGCUGUUGGCGAUACACAGUCAGCGGCUAAGCGAAAGCGUUAAGUGUUCCACCUGGGGAGUACGCCCGCAAGGGUGAAACUCAAAGGAAUUGACGGGGGCCCGCACAAGCGGAGGAGCAUGUGGUUUAAUUCGAUGAUACGCGAGGAACCUUACCCGGGCUUGAAAGUUAGUGAAUGAUCUAGAGAUAGAUCAGUGAGCAAUCACACGAAACUAGGUGCUGCAUGGCUGUCGUCAGCUCGUGCCGUGAGGUGUUGGGUUAAGUCCCGCAACGAGCGCAACCCCUAUGUUUAGUUGCCAGCAUGUAAUGAUGGGGACUCUAAACAGACUGCCUGUGCAAACAGAGAGGAAGGAGGGGACGACGUCAAGUCAUCAUGGCCCUUACGUCCGGAGCUACACACGUGCUACAAUGGAUGGUACAGAGGGCAGCUAGCUGGCAACAGUAUGCGAAUCUCACAAAGCCAUUCACAGUUCGGAUUGGGGUCUGCAACUCGACCCCAUGAAGUUGGAUUCGCUAGUAAUCGCGUAUCAGCUAUGACGCGGUGAAUACGUUCCCGGGCCUUGUACACACCGCCCGUCAAGCCAUGGAAGUUGGGGGUACCUAAAGUAUGUAACCGCAAGGAGCGUCCUAGGGUAAAACCGAUAACUG